UAUAUAUUAGUAAUCAAUAUGUUCGCAUUGUAUUCAAUGUAGGGUUGUUUUCUCCAACAAGUGGCUCUAGAAAGAGACGGAAAUCGGUUGAUUCAAUAAGCUGCAAUAGCAAAAAUGCUUCCUAGAGUCUCAUCCAUUACACCGCUUACUCUAAACUUUUUUCCUCUCCUUAUUUAGUCGGCCGGAUGCCGGCCUAGCUCACUCCAAAUUCAAUAACAACUUUUUUUUGAAAGCUAAAAAAACGAAAAUUGCGCUGAUUAAACAGCAGAAGGUCAGUUAAAGCCUUUCUGACCCACUUUUCUCUCCCUCCUUUCUCUUUUUGCCUCCAAUUGUCUCCUGACGCUCCUGUUGGUUCUGCUUGUGGUAGCUCUGUACAAACCCAUCGCUAGACCAGAGUAGCACAUUCUGUCUUUUCCCAGUGUUUCUAUCUCAUUUUUCGUCUCCUUUCCCGCUUCUCGUGUUCCAUUUCUUGCUCAUGCAUCAAAGCGACCUAGAUGAUUUAUAACCCAAGACUAGGAAAAACCCGAGUGCUGCCUAGGCGUUGCUUGCGGUGCUCGUUCACGGUGGUCUACUGCAAGAAAUAUGGACGAGCUCUGAAUGCUGAAGGACCGUUGAAAAGGGGGUUCAUCGGAAAAUUAGAGCUGCGCAAAGAAAGCUGCCGUACAGUUGUAACAGCAGCGUAUUUCAACGGGUGGGCGCAAGGCGGAUUGCGAUAACGGCGGCGAUGAGAAGCCAUCCGUCAGUGUACUAAGAAGUGGAUGUGACUUCGAAACAAAGAAAAGUUCGCAGCCCAGAUCGGCGCAUCAUAGCAUCGUCACUAAUCACUCACCUCCGCCGUGUGCACUCUUCAUUGUUGAGUCUGGCGCAUCUGUUAUAUAUAUAUAUGUAUAUAUAAGGCUCGACACCCUCACUCUGUGCCUGCCCUUCAAGGGAAUGCUGGCAGAUAUUUGCAACGGCUCGCACAAAGCAGCGAACAAGUUUAUAGCCUCAUUGGCUUAGGAUUUGCUCGUAGUUUUCAUAUUUGUCAAACUGCAAUCGGUAAGAAUAUCGUAGGUGGUGAAAAAGACUCUAUUUUUAAAAGGCGACCAACACCGGUGAGCAUUGACGGAUGAUUGUACUCGGCUAUGUUUUCAACAGAGAGACAUGACCAGGCUAGUAAGUUACUUCUAUCAACGACAUCUUCCAGUAAAGUAUGCUAGUUAUCAUAGAGGAUUAAUCAGUUUAGAAUGUUUGGUUUAAUUCUGACGAAUAACGAUUUCAGACUAGAUAAAACGACUGGAGUACUGAAGUGCGAUGCCUCUUAUAGAAUGAUCUGACUGGUAGCCCAGCCAUUGGCUGCCAGAUGAAUUAGGACUUUGAAGAAAUUAGGUGAGGCUAUUUAAAUAGGAAGAUAAAAUAAACCUAUACCGAUCUAACCUAUAGGGACCUCAAAUCAUCUCGUUUAAUCUAAUUAAGAAGGAAUUAUGGAUCUCGGGAAACUGCUCCUGCAGUAGUUAAAGUGUUUAAUCUCAUCAAGAAAUAUAUAAUUAGAAAAAUUAUCUCCUUUUUUGAUUCGGGUUUUUUAAAUCAUAGAUGCUAUCCAAGGGAUCUCGAAAUGUUAAUUUCGAUUUUGAAAUUCUCACAGGAUAUGUCUGUUUAAUAACUUCAUAGUGAUGAUGCAAUGUGAUAAUAAUAAUAAUAAUAACACAUUAACAAAAUAAGAUAGCAGCCAUUCUUCAUCGGAUUAGGUGACCGCGGCGGUGUGGAGGAGCUUUUCGGCCUAACAUGGCCGUUGGAUCGCACCCAGUUUACCAUUGACUCGCUAAUUAUUCUUAGACUAACCGGUGCCGAUGUAGGUCUUUGUUGUUAAAUAUUCUCUCAAGCAACCUAACCUAAUCUACUUCCCUCUUGAAUAUAGACACUGUGGCUCGUCGCUUUCGUCCUCGUCUGUUGCAUCUUUUUCCUGAUGCUACCGUUCAGUGCUGCUGCUGCUGUUGGAGAUGCUCGUUGUUACGUUCUUAUCGUCGUCGUUGAAAAAGCCUUUCGUUGUACGGAAUGUCACCGCAUCCGUGUUUUUCUGAUCUGCUCUGACCGUCCGUGGCUGGAGCAGACCUUUUUGCCAACGUCAGCAAAGGAAGAAGUAAGCGGUAAGCAUCUGGCGAGAUCCACCUUUGUAUUGGACUGUAGGAUUCCGUUAGGCGGAGCCAGUGUAGCGGUGCGAAAGCAACCUGGGAGAACUAAUCUAAGCCUGCUAUUGCGCACGGAAAUAAACAUCUACUGGGUAAGUGAAGUAGAUGUUUUUCCGUCAAUAUAAUAGCCGUUUAAUAAGAAAAAAACAGGCUCACCGGGUCGGUGGUACCUAACGAUGAUGAUAGUGUUUCAAGCUGAAAUGAACAUACUGAGUUGCUUCACUCAAGCCAAAACAGAACUAGCGGAUAGCAACGUGCAGCGAGUUAAGGACAUGGAACCUAGGAAUCAGUACAUAUAUUUUCAUUGACCAAAGGUUGGUAUGCAAAAAAAAUGGGAGCGGGCCAUGCAAGGUGACGGAGAACCAAACGACUACUUAAUUAUAUUUUCUUUGGUAUGACCAACACAACUUGAAAAAUGUGUGUUAGCAAUACCAUGCUCCGUAAAAGAUUCCUAAGGACACGAUUUUUGAGGCCUAUGUACGCUGCGUAUCGCGUCAGAUGACUUGGCUGAUUAGCCUGCGCGGUCGGAGGCAGGUUAAUGCUGUUCGGUAUCUGAAGCAGAUUUAUCAUACGUUUAGAAUCGGUCGCCUCGGACCAACAGUGUUCUCCUUAAGCUGGUUUCCUAGGUAACAUAAGUGUGCUCCUUACUUUAAACAAAGCAUGCUAGUUGCUCAAUAACCUGAGAGUCUUUUUCUGACAGGCUGUCUAUGGGCUUAUGGGAACAGAUUUCGCAUAACGCAGGUAUC